rnacentral:rRNA from 1 species
GCAGCGCGAGAGAGCUUGCUCUCUUGGCGGCGAGUGGCGGACGGGUGAGUAAUAUAUCGGAACGUGCCCAGUAGCGGGGGAUAACUACUCGAAAGAGUGGCUAAUACCGCAUACGCCCUACGGGGGAAAGGGGGGGAUCGCAAGACCUCUCACUAUUGGAGCGGCCGAUAUCGGAUUAGCUAGUUGGUGGGGUAAAGGCUCACCAAGGCAACGAUCCGUAGCUGGUUUGAGAGGACGACCAGCCACACUGGGACUGAGACACGGCCCAGACUCCUACGGGAGGCAGCAGUGGGGAAUUUUGGACAAUGGGGGAAACCCUGAUCCAGCCAUCCCGCGUGUAUGAUGAAGGCCUUCGGGUUGUAAAGUACUUUUGGCAGAGAAGAAAAGGUAUCCCCUAAUACGGGAUACUGCUGACGGUAUCUGCAGAAUAAGCACCGGCUAACUACGUGCCAGCAGCCGCGGUAAUACGUAGGGUGCAAGCGUUAAUCGGAAUUACUGGGCGUAAAGCGUGUGUAGGCGGUUCGGAAAGAAAGAUGUGAAAUCCCAGGGCUCAACCUUGGAACUGCAUUUUUAACUGCCGAGCUAGAGUAUGUCAGAGGGGGGUAGAAUUCCACGUGUAG